AAAGUCGUAACAAGGUUUCCGUAGGUGAACCUGCGGAAGGAUCAUUACAAAUCCAAAAAAAUACCCGUUAAAAUGUUUUCGGCCUUGGGGCCUGGCUAUUCUUAUUAUAUAUCUCUUCACACUUUCGCUCGCUACUUUUCCUUUUUACUCUACUACUUUGCUGUCGUCGCCUCUCUCUCGCAAGAGAGGAGGAGGAUGGUUGGUUGGUUAGGGUGAGAGGGGCAAGUAGGGGGUAGUGUCUGGAUAUUAGUAGAUGACAGUGCCAUUCCAAACCAAGGUUCGCUCAAUGACCUUACUCUUUGACAUCUUGUAACAACACCCUAUGGUCUUUACUGACUAUAAACUAAUACAACUUUUAACAAUGGAUCUCUAGGCUCUU
rnacentral:misc_RNA from 1 species